GAAUAUUGGAUAAUGGGCGAAAGCCUGAUCCAGCCAUGCCGCGUGUGUGAAGAAGGUCUUCGGAUUGUAAAGCACUUUUAGUUCGGAGGAAGGGCAGUAAGCGAUUACCUUGCUGUUUUGACGUUACCGACACGAUAAGCCGCGGUUAAGUCGAUGCCUGCAGCCGCGGUAAUACAGAGGGUGCAAGCGUUAAUCGGAAUUACUGGGCGUAAAGGGCGCGUAGUUGGUUCGUUAAGUUGGAUGUGAAAUCCCCGGGCUCAACCUGGGAACUGUAUCCAAAACUGGCGAGCUAGAGUAGGGCAGAGGGUGGUGGAAUUUCCUGUGUAGCGGUGAAAUGCGUAGAUAUAGGAAGGAACACCAGUGGCGAAGGCGACCACCUGGGCUCAUACUGACACUGAGGUGCGAAAGCGUGGGGAGCAAACAG
rnacentral:rRNA from 1 species